CUGCUCGACGGGUGAUCUUAUCACGCCAUAAGGUCCGAGGCCGGGGGGAGAUCCAGCUAAUGCAUUCAAGACGAGCCGAGCGCAGAGCGCCCAGCAGCACGUCCAAGUCCAAAUCGCCGACCCACCGGAAAAGGCAGGGGCGUUUGAUGAUAUCAAGACACUCAAACGGGCAUGCUCCUCGGAAUACCAAGGAGCGCAAG
rnacentral:misc_RNA from 1 species